GUAUCUAAAAAUCCAUUGCAGAGGGAAGCGCUGCCAGUGCCGAGUGUAUGAACGCAUUAAAACCAGCUUGCACACACUCCGUGUUUGAUAUCGCCUUUUCCACUCCUGAAGAGCCCCUUAAUUGAAAUGCGGCAAACGAUUUGGCAUGAGAGCGACAGGCCCUAUUAGAUAUAGCUCUCUGUCAGCCGGGGUUAGCCGGCGAUGCUUUAUCGCUCUGCUAAAACCCAAACACUAAAACAACUGCCUGGCCCCGCUCUGGUCAAGGAAACCAUUUCAUCACCUGACGGCAGCCAUAUAGCAGGAGGAAUUAUGAGAGAGGUGUCGUGGCUGCUGGUGGCAGUGGAGAGAAGAGUGUGUGUGUGUGUGUGUGUGUGUGUGUGUGGUGGGGGAGCAGGGAUAAGUAGGGGUGGUGUAAUUUUCAUAAUUGAGGCGACGGCAGCGCGGGAGCAGAGAGAGGGUUGAGAUCUUGAAGCUGCAGUCGAAAUGCAAAGAAAGAAAACAGACGUGCCUUCACUAAAUUAAGGGUUUUGGAGUUAUCUCUUGCUCUUCUUCCAGUGUUCAGUCUUCCCGUGAUCCUCAUCAGCCUCAUUUUCCCUCCACACCUGUCUUGGAUCUGUUAAAUUAGCCCGGCCCUUUUACCUGUGUUGCUCCCCAGUCUGCUUUCCCUGCACUCCUGCACAGCAUCUCCUUCAUCAGCCCUUUCCCUGCUUCCAGUGUUAUCCAUUCAUUACCCCCACCCGUGUGCCUCCGCCUCACUCCACCUGCACCUCAGCCUCAGAUUAGUUCUGUUUAUAUUGACGUUGAGUCUGUAGUUCAGUCUUUGUUGACUUAUCUGUUGAGUUUCUGUGAUCCUGUCGUGUUUCCCUGAUCCUGUUCCAGCUGUUUAUCCUAAUAUACAUUAUUCAUUGUUAUUCCUGUUUGUAUAUAUUUAAAAAAAAACAAUGCAAAAAAAAUGUAGAAAUUGUAAUUGUGUUUGAUUUGGCGCCCCCCACAGACUCUAAAUGCAACACCACUUUCAUAAAUACAGGUCUGCAACAAUUCAUCACUCAAAAUGAAAGUGCUACCUACAAACAAA